ACGAACUCUGGCGGCGUGCCUAAUUCAUGCAAGUAGAACGCUGAAGGAGGAGCUUGCUUCUCUGGAUGAGUUGCGAACGGGUGAGUAACGCGUAGGUAACCUGCCUGGUAGCGGGGGAUAACUACUGGAAACGAUAGCUAAUACCGCAUAAUAGUAGAUGUUGCAUGACAUUUGCUCAAAUGCUGCAAUUGCAUCACUACCAGAUGGACCUGCGUUGUAUUAGCUAGUUGGUGGGGUAACGGCUCACUACGGCGACGAUACAUAGCAGACCUGAGCGGGUGAUCGGCCACACUGGGGCUGAGACAGGGACCAGACUCCUACGAGAGGCAGCAGUAGGGAAUCUUCGGCGAUGGACCGAAGUCUGACCGAGCAACGCCGCGUGAAUGAAGAAGGUUUUCGUAUCGUAAAGCUCUGUUGUAAGAGAAGAACGAGUGUGAGAGUGGAAAGUUCACACUGUGACGGUAUCUUACCAGAAAGGGACGGCUAACUACGUG
rnacentral:rRNA from 1 species